GCAUCGGUGGUUCAAAGGUAGAAUUCUUGCCUUCCAUGCAGGAGACCUGAGUUCGAGUCUCAGCCAGUGCA
rnacentral:tRNA from 1 species